ACGGGGUGCAGCAGGCGCGAAAACUUGGCAAUGCGGGAAACCGCGACCAGGGGAUUCCAAGUGCAUGCACUUUGUGUAUGCUGUUCCAUUGCCUUAAAAGCAUAGGAAGUAAGAGCUGGGAAAGACAGGUGCCAGCCGCCGCGGUAAUACCUGCAGCUCGAGUGGUGGCCGAUUUUAUUGAGCCUAAAGCGUCCGUAGCCGGUCUAGUAAAUUCUUGGGUAAAUUGAGCAGCUUAACUGUUCGAAUUCCGAGGAGACUGCUAGACUUGGGACCGGGAGAGGUCAGAGGUACUCCAGGGGUAGGGGCUAAAGUUUAAAUGCGUGAUUAUCACGCAUUUAAAAUAGCAUUCCUGUAAUCCUUGGGGGACCACCAGUGGCGAAGGCGUCUGACUAGAACGGAUCCGACGGUAAGGGACGAAACCCUGGGUCGCAAACCGGAUUAGAUACCCGGGUAGUCCAGGGCGUAAACGCUGCAGGCUUGGUGUUGGGGACCCUACGAGGGUGCCCAGUGCCGGAGAGAAGUUGUUAAGCCUGCCGCUUGGGAGUACGUCCGCAAGG
rnacentral:rRNA from 1 species